UUUUUUUUUUUUUCCAUAGAAAACGAGAUAUGUGAGAUCUUUAUUGGUUUCGUCUCAUUUUAAAUUCUUCACUCAGUAUCUUCUAAUAGGUUAUUAUUCUUAUGUAAAUGUUGGAUUCGUUUAGAUUCUUAGGGUUUUACUAUUGAUCUGGGAUUGGGGUGUCUUCCGUGGCUAAUGCAUUUGAAGGCACUGAGAAUUAUUCCGCGCACGAGAACUUGGUAAUCGAAGAGGACGUGACUAAUGCCCAAGAUUCGAUUUUCAAUUACUCGCGUUAAUUUCUUUAGCAACUGUUACUGUUGCGAUUACCAUUUUUGCGUACUUUUCCAGUUAACUGAUCUUAGGGAGAUUGAUUUGUGAAAGACAGAGUGAUUAGGCUCGUGGAUCCUCUCCUCGUGUACCUUUUUGUCAAAUGAGAUGGAGAAGGUUUGCUACAUCCUGGUUGAUAGGGAUUGUGAUUUCAGAGUAAGGUGGAUAAUUCAUGGGUAUUUGAUCCUCUGUUUUGAUUACUUUUUUGUUGAUAUUAGUAUAGAGUAAUGCUACUAGAUACAGUCCUAGGAUGUGCAAACCAUGUCGUUUAGGAAAAAAGUGAGGUUCAUCGUUAAAAAAAUGACCUAGAUUUACCCUCUUUUUUCAAAGGGAGCAAUGUAAUUGCGCGUGGCUUGCAUACUCUAGGACCAUAUCAUUUCUCAUUAGUAUAAUUAGGACAUGGCAUGAUGUCAAUGGAGGCUUAUAUGCAAAGGAUUAGUAGAGUAAUCAUUUAUAUGGGGUAAGGGGUUUAGAAGGUCAGAGAUGGUAGGGGCUCAAUUGGUACCGUUGUGCUGUGGAAAGAACUUCAUGACAUGGUUGUGAAUCAUAUUAGAUAUUGGAUAAGGUGGAUAUGAACUGCAAAGAAAGUAGAUUCGCCAUUCUGAAGGACUAAUGAGUGAAGUGGUUUAUGAAUGACUAUUUAAAAUACCAAUCAUUAAGUGAGCAAGUUGAAUGUGUAUGGCAUGAAUAUUUUUGUUCAAAAGAUGACUUUAAAUCAUAGGAAGCAUAUGACAGUUUCUUUAACCACAAACAUUUAAGCUUGGUUGAUCUUGGCUUUGCAGUGUUUGGGCUUGUUCUGAAGGAUAGCUGAACCUACUUGUAUGAAUUAUGAGACACUUAUUCUUUUAAAAGAGUGUACUUUGCCAUUUUCUCACAGUGCCUAUUUUCCUUUCUGAAAAUUUUCUUUAUUUGGGAAUGUAUUCUAAGGAGGUUGUGGUAAUAAGAUUGUUUUUGAUGAGUAACGCUUAGAGAAGAUUUUGCAAGAUUCGCAAGUACUGAUAAAGCAGUGUUUGAGGCUUUGCAGUCAAUAUUUUAGUUGCACGAUCACACUUUUACAGAGUCAAGCUUUAACUUACCUAACUUUACGCUCUAUAAAGUGAUUUGACAUCAUAAAAAUACCUCAUGUAACACCCGGACUUUUGAGGUUUCUAAUUUAGGAAAGUUAGGGUUUCUAUUUUUAAAGAGUGAGUUAGGGUAAUUAGGCCCAAGCCCAAGUAUUAUCCUUGCUAAACCCAUACAGCCCAUGAAAGUGAGCCCACAUGUUUUUUUUUUUAAUUGGUAAACAAAAUUUUAUUGAUCAUAAGAAUAGGCAGCCCACAUAUGUUAUACCCGAAAUCUACUUGCUACAUGUCUAGUUGCAAGCACAAGUCUAGUCCUACUUCAACUACAAGUCACCAAUUCCUACUCUAACUACAACUCCUAAGGCAAACACAACUCCUGAGGCAGCCACAACUCUUGAGGCAAACAAUUUCUAAGGCAACCACAACUCUUAGGGCAACUAUGACUCCAAAUCACAUUCAAACACUCCACUAGACCCACAACACUAGGACUACCUGUGAUACCCCCAUAUAAUAAGGAUAAGGGUAGGUGGUGUAUGGGAUCCCACAUUGCUUGGGAAGGAGAAAUUCUUGCUCUUUAUAAUGUUCUAAUGGGGCUCCAAUUGUAUCAUUGACAAGUCCUUUUGGAGUAUAGGCCAUGUGGUUUGGGCCUUCCAUUGGGGCAUUACACUACCAUACCCCUUGGACUCUAUACCCUCCAAACUCUAUUUAUAGACCCCAUAUGAGAGCCUACCUACCAUUUUAUGAGCCCUAAGCAUGGCCCCUUCCAAGCCCCUUACAAUACUCACACCACACCCUAAGCAAGAAGAUCAAGAUCCAAACCAUUUAGCCAAGCUGUGUACUCCAACCCAACCUUUGGAUCGAGCUCUUCCUUUAGGUGAUUGUCGAUGCACUAAUUGAUGUCCAAAGUUGCGAGGUAAGUAAUUUGAUCACGCCCUUCUUUAUUACACAUUUUCUAAAUUAUGUAAGUAGCAUGAUCAUACCCUUACAUGUAUGGUAAAUGAUGUUUUUAAAGCAUUAUGUAUAUAUGACCCUUUAUUGGAAGCCCCUUUUUACGUACCUUGUUUGGUAAAUGAUGUCUUUCACUUGCAUAGUGGUCAUCAUAACAUGUGUGCAUUGGUCCAAUUGUCAUUGACUGCAGAAAAUCUAAACAUAACAUAUGGUGGAUCACACUUACGUAUGUGGCUUGCACACCCACCCAUAAUGUUAUGCUAAGCAUUAAAGCUUUCUUAUUGUUUACUUGACUUCUUUCUUAUCUUAUUAUGAUGCAUGCGAACAUUUUGACUCCAUGAUGUUCAUGGCAUGCCGUAUUCAUGUGCAUGGCAUAGCACUAAACAUGGCAUGUUAGCAUACAUAAACUUGGUAAACAAUGGAUUCUGCAUGCCAUACACAAUUGCAUCAACAAGCACAUUUUCAUAAAUCAGCGAUGGUUCAUGAAAGGGGCUAACAUUGAACUUGGCUAUGCAUAGCAUAGGUAAACAAUACUUUUUCAGGCAAAAAGAAUAAUUUCAGCAGACAUAAAGGUUAUGAUCAUGUGACUUACCUUAUCUCCUUAGCUUUGAGAAUCAACUAAGCAUGUCAAUCAAGCACCUAUUAUUAAGUUACAUAAAUAUUCCAUGCCAAUCUCUACUCAAGCUCUUACUAUUUGACUAAGGUAUAACCUAUACUCCAUAGUGUUGUUUGCUGUCUACCUAGUGACAGCAUACUAUGGCUGGCUAGAAUUAGGGUUCAAAACCCUCAAGCUGACUCAAGUUUUGGGGAAAGGAGCUGGCUGAAAGUUUACCCAGCAGUUUCCUAUUGUGAUUUCUCAUUAGGUUGAAGCUUUCCUAAUUUGGUUUGAAGGUCUCAUAACAGGGGCGAUAUCCACUGGAUUUUUCAGACCCGGCAGCCCCUUAUUUUGAACUUUAUUGGGUAUAUACUGGGUUUCUAAGCUUGCUGCAUAUCCCUAGAUUCUAGGAAUUUCCUUGUGAGUUUUACAUGUAAAGAUUUCCCGUGCUUGCUGUUAUAGGCCUGCCAGAGUGUUUAAUGCUGGCUGUACAGCUAUUUCUAGAGUCAACUUCUUUCCUAAUUAGUUCUAAAAAAAUGGGCAGCCUCUUACUGGGAAAUUCCAGGGUAAUAUUCCAGCCCUUAAAUCAGACAAAAUCCCUAUUUUUUUUU